rnacentral:rRNA from 1 species
CCUACGGGAGGCAGCAGUAGGGAAUAUUGCACAAUGGAGGAAACUCUGAUGCAGCAACGCCGCGUGGGGGAUGAAGGUUUUCGGAUUGUAAACCUCUUUUGUUAGAGAAGAUAAUGACGGUAUCCAAAGAAUAAGCACCGGCUAACUCCGUGCCAGCAGCCGCGGUAAUACGGAGGGUGCAAGCGUUUCUCAGAGUCACUGGGCGUAAAGAGCGCGUAGGCGGGGUAGGAAGUCAGAUGUGAAAUCCUAGGGCUUGACCAGAGAGCUGCAUUUAAAACUUUUAUUUUGGAGUAUGGGUGAGGUAGGUGGAAUCCUUGGGGUAGGGGUGAAAGCCGUAGAGAUCAGGAGGAAUACU